AACACGUAGUACACCACGCUCUGGCCCGCCGUGAAGUGCUGCUCCGCCGUCUCCAGGAAGCGCUCCAGGUACUUUUCCAGCUUGAGAGAGGCUGUGCAACUCACCCACAGCAGCCUCGAUCUGGGCCUCCUCCUAUGUGCCCCUGUUCAGACCCCUGCUCUGUGAACUUGGCGGACCCAUGUCCACUAAAGUGCUGAGGAAGUGACAGCGUGUGAUUUCUGAGGCUAGAUCAUAAAGAGCACAGCAGUUCUCACCUCACUCUUCUGCCUGGGUUACUGCAGAGUAAGCCAGCUACCAGUAAGCCACCCCAGCAACCCUUUGGAGAGGCACGCGUGGAAAGCAGCCAAGGCCCUGGUGGUCCCCGGCCUCCUUGCCGUGUGAGUGAACCGUGCUGGAAGUGGGUUUUCUGGCUCCAGACCUCAGACGCUGCAGCCUGUAUGGCGUCUUCCCUGAGACCUCAUAUGACCUCAAACUCAUACACUGGGUUUGUGGAAGGGAGCAGAUAACCUCUCUGUUUCCAGGUCUUCAGACUAAGAGGAACUGGACACCAGGAGCCUCAUACCAGGACUGCCCAGCCGAGCCACUCGAUUCCUGACCCACAUGGCCCUUGAGAUGACAAGUGAUUGCUGCUUAAAGUCACUGAGUUCUGGAGUAAUUUACAUCACGGCAAUAGGUAACUAAUGCAGAUUCUGGUACCUGGAAAAGGAGUGGUGACAUAAAACAGCUCUAUAGAUGUGGGCAUGGCCUCAGAACUGGCCACAGGCAGGAGCCGGAAGGACUCUGUGGAAAGCAUGAGUGUCUAAGGUGCUUUGAGAGACUGUAUAUAGAAGUCUCAUGGCCUUUAGGGAAGCUGCUGG
rnacentral:antisense_RNA from 1 species